UACGUAGGGUGCGAGCGUUGUCCGGAAUUAUUGGGCGUAAAGAGCUUGUAGGCGGUUUGUCGCGUCUGCUGUGAAAGUCCGGGGCUCAACUCCGGAUCUGCGGUGGGUACGGGCAGACUAGAGUGAUGUAGGGGAGACUGGAAUUCCUGGUGUAGCGGUGAAAUGCGCAGAUAUCAGGAGGAACACCCGUGGCGAAGGCGGCAGCCUGGACCGACACUGACGCUGAGGAGCGAAAGCCAGGGGAGCAAACGGG
rnacentral:rRNA from 1 species